GGGAGUUAUGUCUUAAACAGCUAGGGGAGGUGGUCGGGGUUAUGUCUUAAACAGCUAGGGGAGGUGGUCGGGGUUAUGUCUUAAACAGCUAGGGGAAGUGGUCGGGGCUAUGUGAAAAACAGCUAGGGGAGGUGGUCGGGGUUAUGUCUUAAACAGCUAGGGGAAGUGGUCGGGGUUAUGUCUUAAACAGCUAGGGGAAGUGGUCGGGGUUAUGUCUUAAACAGCUAGGGGAAGUGGUUGGGGUUAUGUCUUAAACAGCUAGGGGAGGUGGUCGGGGUUAUGUCUUAAACAGCUAGGGGAAGUGGUCGGGGGGUUAUGUCUUAAACAGCUAGGGGAAGUGGUCGGGGUUAUGUCUUAAACAGCUAGGGGAAGUGGUCGGGGCUAUGUCUUAAACAGCUAGGGGAAGUGGUCGGGGUUAUGUC